rnacentral:rRNA from 1 species
UACGGAGGGUGCAAGCGUUAUCCGGAUUCACUGGGUUUAAAGGGUGCGUAGGUGGGCAGGUAAGUCAGUGGUGAAAUCUCCGGGCUUAACCCGGAAACUGCCGUUGAUACUAUCUGUCUUGAAUAUCGUGGAGGUGAGCGGAAUAUGUCAUGUAGCGGUGAAAUGCUUAGAUAUGACAUAGAACAUCAAUUGCGGAGGCAGCUCGCUACACGGUUAUUGACACUGAGGCACGAAAGCGUGGGGAUCAAACAGG